GUUGUCAAUGAUGUUUUAUUGUAAUUGUUUGAGUUUCAAUGACCAUGACAAUACUUACAUGCACUACCAUCUGAGGCAUC
ensembl:snoRNA SNORD33 Small nucleolar RNA Z195/SNORD33/SNORD32 family